AUUACAGCAACCACUUACUGAGUUAAACUGGUUUUCUGUCAUCAGAGAAAAAAUAUUUAUUUCUGAGAAGCUUAGAUUGUUUUACAGACAUUAUUAGCAAAGGGCUGAAAAAUGCGGCAGGAAUUUGUUCCUUUAUCAUAUAUCUGAGCAGAAUGAAAUUAAUCUUCAGAGGUUUUACUUUAAAUGCACUUCCAGGCAUCAACACAAGAAGGCACUAAAACACUGCAGUUCUUCACCAUCAGUCUAAAAGCCACGUUAGUUUCUGAUUUUCCUCCAGAAAGACAUACUGAAUAAGUUAACAUGAGCAAAAGGUUUUCCAUGCAGAAUGAAGAGAAAAGCCCAGCUGCAGACAGCUGCUCAUGCUGCUCCUUGUCUGAUAGAGCAUACAAUUAGCUCGAUAAUCCAAUCAUGGGGGCAGUGGGAAGGCUGUUGACAAGAAAACCAAAGCAAUGGUAUGUCUAUGGGGCCCGGAAAAGUCACCAGGUUUGAUCUGUGGAUUCCUGCCAUUAAGCCUGUGUAAAGGACAAAAAUAUGAGAACUAAAUGGAAAAAUGAACAAAGUCUUUUCAUGGAGAAGAAUUUUUGGAGUACAAGCUGUUGAAGAAGAUGGUAAGUGCUGGGUCCUGCAACCUGAUGUGGCCAUAUGGGCUUGGAGAAAAGUGGCUAGAAAAUUGCCCAGAAGAAUGGACCUAGAAGAUAUUGGCUGGCAGCCGGCUGAACAUGAGCCAGCAGAGUGCCCAGAUCUCCAAGAAAGCCAAUGCACCAGAAAUAGCGUGGCCAGCAGGACUAAAGGAGUGAUUGUUUGUAAAUGGCACUGGUGAGACCACAUCUUCAAUACUGUGUUCAGUUUUAGGCCACAAGAAGGAUAUACAGCUGAUGGAAUGUGCUCAGAGAAGAGCAACAAAACUGUGAUGGGACUAGAAAACAAGACCUAUUAGGAGCAGCUGCUAUGGAAAUAUAUCUUCUCUACCUGCUCUACUACUCCUUUACUCUACUGUUUUUCCUGACUUUGGCAUAUGUCAGGAUAUGUCAGGAAAAAAAUUGCAAUUUUCCUGAAGAUUUUAAAAAUCCUGUAUGGACAUUUGGUGUUUGAAACUCUUUGUAUUUGCAUUUCAAUUUCAUUUAUUUAGAAAACUAAAUAUAUCUUUUUGUUUGCUAGAAGUUUAAUUGUAAUUCUAUGACAAGCUAAUUAAAAGAAAUAGAAUUAAUUUAGCCAGAAAUUGCUGUUUCUGAAAUGUGUGUUUUCUCUUGAAGAAAAAUAAAAGAAAAAAAGCUAACUGCCUAAAACUGUAGGAGAACAUAUAAAAAUAUUUUAUUUUAUUUUAUUUUUUUGUGUGUUUUUUGUUUGUUUGUUUUCCCAGAUGUGAGCCAUGACAUACAAGUAAAUGAUGUACUAUAACAAAAUUGCUCUCAGAACAUUUAUUGUGGCUAUUACAUAGGAGUAAUAUAUCUCAUGUCUUUCACACAUUAGAGUGUAAGUAAACCAGU
rnacentral:lncRNA from 1 species